GACAUUUGAAGGGGGCUGCUCCUAGUACGAGAGGACCGGAGUGGACGAACCUCUGGUGUACCGGUUGUGACGCCAGUCGCAUCGCCGGGUAGCUAUGUUCGGAAGAGAUAACCGCUGAAAGCAUCUAAGCGGGAAACUCGCCUUAAGAUGAGAUAUCCCUGGAGGCUUGACCUCCUUGAAGGGUCGUUCGAGACCAGGACGUUGAUAGGUCGGGUGUGUAAGCGCAGUAAUGCGUUCAGCUAACCGAUACUAAUUGCCCGUAAGGCUUGAUCCUAUAACA
rnacentral:rRNA from 1 species